AGCCAUCUCACCAGCCCCCGGCAGG
rnacentral:piRNA from 1 species